rnacentral:tRNA from 1 species
GUCCCUGUGGCGUAACAGGUAGCCGCAUCUGCCUUAAGAGCAGACGUUUAUUCGUGGAGGUUCGAAUCCUCUCAGGGACA